UAUGUACUCCCUUCGUCCGGAAAUACUUGUCAUAAGAACAAAUGUAUCUAGAUGUAUUUUAGUUAUAGAUACAUCCAUUUUUAUUCAUUUAUACGACAAGUAAUUUCGAACGGAGGGAGUAGUAU
rfam:Hordeum vulgare subsp. vulgare, WGS project CAJW01000000 data, contig: morex_contig_40441